ensembl:lncRNA
UCCCACCCGAACGUAACCAACCACUAUUAGCAUUUCGUUGUCAUCCUCCUGACAUGCUCACAUGGUCACCUAGGGAUGUACCAGUGACAAAAGGAGAUUCCAUGAUGUUUCAUCACGGGAAUUUUCACUUAACUUACCAAAGACGUGGAAAGACAGAAAAACACGGCAUGGUGGCAGCUAACGGCUUUCCUGGCGGGACACCCAGCCCUGGGGCUUGUCCAGCACAGGAAUUCGGCUCGUCCUUUCCUGAACUGUGGCAGGUGAGAGGAGGUAGGGAGGUGGAAGUGGAGGAGGCAGGCAGGGAAGAGUCCAGAGACUUGCUUUGCUAGUAUGGAUGACACUGGCCUGUGGAUUUUAGAAACUGAGACCGAAAGAGG